UACGUAGGGUGCAGGCGUUAAUCGGAAUUACUGGGCGUAAAGCGUGCGUAGGCGGUUUGUUAAGUCAGGUGUGAAAUCCCCGGGCUUAACCUGGGAACUGCGCUUGUUACUGGCAGACUGGAGUGUGGCAGAGGGGGGUGGAAUUCCAGGUGUAGCAGUGAAAUGCGUAGAUAUCUGGAGGAACACCGAUGGCGAAGGCAGCCCCCUGGGCUAACACUGACGCUGAUGCACGAAAGCGUGGGGAGCAAACAGG
rnacentral:rRNA from 1 species